AUUGAACGCUGGCGGCAGGCCUAACACAUGCAAGUCGAGCGAGCGGCGGACGGGGGAGUAAUGUCUGGGAAACUGCAUGAUGGAGGGGGAUAACUACUGGAAACGGUAGCUAAUACCGCAUACCAUCAGAUGUGCCCAGAUGGGAUUAGCUGGUAGGUGGGGUAAUGGCUCACCUAGGCGAAGAGCCCUAGCUGGUCUGAGAGGAUGACCAGCCACACUGGAACUGAGACCCGGUCCAGACUCCUACGGGAUGCAGCAGUGGGGAAUAUUGCACAAUGGGCGCAAGCCUUAUGCAGCCAUGCCGCGGGUAUGAAGAAGGCCUUCGGGUUGGAAAGUACUUUCAGCGGGGAGGCGUUACCCGCAGAAGAAGCACCGGCUAACUCCGUGCCAGCCGCCGCGGUAAUAC
rnacentral:rRNA from 1 species